rfam:Stenotrophomonas maltophilia R551-3, complete genome.
AAACGUCUUCAGGGCGGGGUGCGAUUCCCCACCGGCGGUAGGUGCGCAAGCACGAGCCCGCGAGCGCUCCGGCCUUACCGCCGGGGGUCAGCAGAUCCGGUCCAAUGCCGGAGCCGACGGUAUAGUCCGGAUGAAAGAAGACGGUG